CUAACCCUGGGAUCUGAACAACCAGGACACCUGCCCCAACCCCAGAAGAGCAGAAAACUAUUUUUAGAAGUAUUUCUGGCUGUACAGUAUCUAUUAACGACUUGCAUCUGUGACACAAACUAAACAAAUGUUGCUUGUCAAUGGUGUACCUUAAAGCUGUGUUUUUGUCAACUUGAGAAUUACUGAAGUUCUUUAAUGACAGAUUGUGGCUAGCCUUAACUACAGCCUUUAUAUGAAAAAUUGUACAUGAA
rnacentral:lncRNA from 1 species